AGCAGUGGGGAAUUUUCCGCAAUGGGCGAAAGCCUGACGGAGCAAUACCGCGUGAGGGAGGAAAGCCCUCGGGUUGUAAACCUCUUUUCUCAGGGAAGAACACAAUGACGGUACUUGAGGAAUCAGCAUCGGCUAACUCCGUGCCAGCAGCCGCGGUAAUACGGAGGAUGCAAGCGUUAUCCGGAAUGAUUGGGCGUAAAGCGUCCGCAGGUGGCAAUGUAAGUCUGCUGUUAAAGAGUGAGGCUCAACCUCAUAAAAGCAGUGGAAACUAUAUAGCUAGAGUGCGGUAGGGGCAGAGGGAAUUCCCAGAGUAGCGGAGAAAUGCGUAGAUACUCUUAAGAACACCCGUGGCGAAAGCGAUCUGCUAGGCCACAACUGACACUCAUGGACGAAAGCUAGGGGAGC
rnacentral:rRNA from 1 species